GUGAGAAUACCAAAAAAUAAAAGACACGGACGUUUUUCACAAUAAUAUUCAAAGAUGGAAACGUUUUGUGCUAAUUGUCCUUCUUUUUUUAUUCUCGUCUUCUACUGUCAGGAUUAAUGUACCAAAGAUUCCACGAACGCAGAGCGAUGAGACACCUCAAUAUCAUGGCAGUUCUUUGAUUCGCCUGAAUUGCAUCUGUCAGAAUAAAUUGAAGAAGAUAACCAUUAUUUAGGCAUCUCCUUUAGAUAAAAAGAAGAUGGAAUAUGAAUAUUUGAAUACAUAUUUCGACAUAAAUUGUCCUGCGCCCCCAGACAAAAACAAGAAAAGGAGAAUCUAUCCAUUUUUCAAUUUGAAAUGAUCAAUUUCACUAAUCUUCUCAACAAUGAAAUGGAAAAGGCUUGGGUAAUUCUAAAAUUCAAAUAUUUUUCAUAUUCUUGUGGUUAGUAAGAAUUCUAUUUAUUUCAUUUAUUUGCAAGGGGCGAAGAUGACUUUGAUGCUUAAUUCAGUAAAAGUUUCAAAAGUGAUGGAAUGAAUCGACCUAUUUGACUAGGAGAAUCAAUAAUUAGUCCAAACUUCAAUGAUUUAUCUUCACAGCAUUGUGGUAACUCGAAAGUGUAGAAAUAAAUAGGGUUUUACAUUAGAUUGAAGGGGCGUUUGUUUCCCAUUUUUAUAAAAAUGAAAAUGAAAAAUAUAGUCGUUAUGGAUCCACACAAGAAAUAAAAAUUCAAAUUUGAUAGUUUGAUGUAAUGGAUAACGAUCAUAUUUUUCAUUUUAAUGGGAAAAAAGGGGAAACAAACAGGGGCUGAGAAUAUUUCAACAGAAAAGCUUAUAUUUCAAAAGUAGAAUAUUUAAAUCCUUCUUUGGACAAUUCCUUGGGAAUAAAGUAAAAGCGAGAAAAGCAUUAAACUUUGUCAGUAGCGUUCAAGAAUUAAUUUGAAUUCCAAGGUCUCAGUAACAUCCAUUUAUGAAAAAUUGUCACAUAUCAAGCCUUUGUAAUUUGACACGUAUGAGAGGAGUGUGUCGAAGACAACACUUAACCAAUAUAUGUAUAAUUUCUUUAACAACUUAAACUUUUCAAAUCAUGGUUGGGGCUCUCUCCAUAAGAGAAAUGAAGUCAAUAUCAGAGUAGAACGAGUUACCAUAAAACGUUCGGGUCAAGUUGGACUAAGCAACUUUGUAGAGGCCUACAAAGUCCUAACACGCUUGACACAGAGAAGGCAUGGACCCCCACCCGGUCCCCACCCUACCUCCCAACUGCAUUCCUUCGACUAUAAAUAGCAGUUCCAGCAUAGAGUUUGAAAUAUAUCAGCAACACCAAUUACAAAACCACUCCAAUUUCCAGUUCCCUCUUCCCUUUUAACACUAAAAUCAUGUCGGACAAGUGCGGAAGCUGCGACUGUGCUGACAAGAGUCAAUGCGUGUAAGUAUUUCUUAUUCCUAAAGGGCCAAUAUUAUAAAUAAGAUAAUGGUGCUGUGUUUUCUUGAAUCAUGUGUUGAAUCACCUCGUUAAAAGUUUAAACUUCUAGCCUGGUGAUAUGGAUUGGAGAACACACAUGCCUUGGGUUCGAAUUUCAACACUAAACCUGGCUGGCACGAGGAGCAUGUUGAAGAAAUGAUUAUGAAUAAAUUUCUCUCCUCUCUAACAGAUUAAACUUUUAGAUGAAGUGAUUCAAUACAUAAUGGAACGCUAGACGCUAAACACCAAGAUCCAUAGUCCUUACCCUUUGUCUUUUUAUCAUUGCAUGCAAAACUAUAUACACACACUACUUGUUUAACCAUGUAUACUGAUCGAAGCAAUACCGGCUAAUUUGCAGGAAGGGUAACACCUUCAGCAUGGACAUUGUGGAGACAGACAAGAGGUACCUUUCACGCUCAACAAGAAAUCUUCAAAAACUUAUUUCUAUUGAACACCCCACGAAAUAUCAGUACAAAAAAUUGCUGUCAAAAUUUUCACACACUUAUCUCUGUUGGUAACUGAAUCAGUGGAUUUGUAUUUUGCAGCUACGCUGAGACGGUUCUGUUGGAUGCUCCAGCAGCUGAGAACGACGGCAAUUGCAAGUGCGGUCCAAGCUGCGCUUGCAUCGACUGUACCUGUGGUGAAUGAACGCAAAAUAAUUAGUUACAGGGACACAAAAACUUUAUACUAUUUAAGUAUGUUUGAAUAAGGUUUUAUCGUUGUACUCCCCUGUUGUGUCAAUUUGUGUC
rnacentral:lncRNA from 1 species